rnacentral:rRNA from 1 species
GACGAACCGUGCGAACGUUGUUCGGAAUCACUGGGCUUAAAGGGCGCGUAGGCGGGUUCUCCAGUCAGGGGUGAAAUCCCACGGCUCAACCCGUGGAACGGCCCCUGAUACUGAGAGUCUCGAGGGAGGUAGGGGCAUGUGGAACUUCCGGUGGAGCGGUGAAAUGCGUAGAUAUCGGAAGGAACGCCGGUGGCGAAAGCGACGUGCUGGACCUCUUCUGACGCUGAGGCGCGAAAGCUAGGGGAGCAAACGGG